GACGGAGGAUGCAAGCGUUAUCCGGAAUGAUUGGGCGUAAAGCGUCCGCAGGUGGCAGUUCAAGUCUGCUGUCAAAGACCGGGGCUUAACUUCGGAAAGGCAGUGGAAACUGAACAGCUAGAGUAUGGUAGGGGCAGAGGGAAUUCCUGGUGUAGCGGUGAAAUGCGUAGAGAUCAGGAAGAACAUCGGUGGCGAAGGCGCGCUGCUGGACCAUAACUGACACUCAGGGACGAAAGCUAGGGGAGCGAAUGGG
rnacentral:rRNA from 1 species